GUACAGGGUAAAGCAAAAGAAUGACCCAUGCAGGCAUCUGGGGGAAGAGCUUUCCAGGAAGGGGAAACAGGCGUGCAAAGGCCCAGAGGCAGGCAUGUGCUUGCCUGCCUCCCAAAACAGCAAUGAGCUCUGUCUGGUCGCAGUGGAGAGAGCAAGGGGCUUUGUCGGCGCCAUUUACUGAAUUUUUUAAAAAAGAUUUAUUUAUGUAUUUGAGAGAGAGCGCGAGAGAGCUGAGGCUGUGGGCAGAGGGAGAAAGCGAAUCUCGAGCAGGCUCCCUGCUGAACACCGAGCCCUGCGUGGCGGGAGGCGGGGAGGCUCCGGAUGGCUGGAGGCUGUGCUCCAGCUCACGACCCCCAGAUCAAGACCUGAGAGGAAUCAAGAGUCCGCGGCUUAACCGAGCCACCCAGGGGCCACCACUGACGGAAUUCUCAGGAGAUGAUUCCCCGCCACCCCGCCACCCCGCCACCCAGUCACUCCGGCCGAGGAAAUUCGUUACUUGCUCUUAUAGAGACUCUUGAGGGAGGGGGAGAAUGACUUUCAGUCCCCAGCGCGCUGCGCGAUCGUUUCCCGGGCUCCGGGCCUCGGACAGCGCUCCCGCGCGGCCGGGCUAGACGUCGGGGGCCUCUCACCAGCGUCCACGUCCCGAACCCGGACUCGCCCUUCGCUGCGCCCGCGCCGCCCCCUACCUGCACCCCAGAUCCCCCCGCGCUCCCCGGACGCCCGGAGCCCCGCUCACCCCGCACCGCAGCCGCCGACUACCGCCCGCAGGAUCUCGGCCGCUCGCUCUCGCUUUCGUUUUCCCCGCGGGCUCCGCCUUCCGCGGCGGCCGCCCGGCGCUCUCCCGCUCCUGGAGCGCAGGAAGCUGGAGCCUCCCUCCGCGUCCGCGCCGGGCGCACUGCCACCCACGUGGCGCCCCUUGGCCGCCAGGCGCGCAAGGACCCUGCGGGGGCACCCCCUUCCUCUCCGCCCCUCCGCCACCCCGGCUCCCGCGUCUGCUUAUGCCACGCCCCGGUGCGCGAGAAGGGUCAGCAGGGAGGAAGGGAGUACACCGAGGUCCCCCAGCAGCGGCGGUCGGCCAAGGAGGAUAUUAUCCGCUCCAUUUCAUGAACGAAAAAAAACAGUAAAUUAACCCGCACAGAGUCCUGCUGCUAAGUGGCAAAGCCAGGAUUCAACUCAAGGUCCUUGUCUUCGCCGUUGUAAGCACCAGCCAGUCCAGCCAUGAGGAGAGCCACCUACCUGCUCCCUGUGGGACCUCGUGGAGUUUUCCUACCAAAGCCCCACUAAGUAGUCCUCUAUUUAUAAGAAACAGACGCGGUGAUUGAGGCGUGCUGAAGACUUAAAACAAUACUGACAAGUAGGUGCCAUUACUAUGCCUAUUUAACAGAUGAGAAAACUGAGGUCUGAGGCACAGAGAAGCAAUUCAGUCAGUAAGCAGGAGAACUGGGAUUAGAACCAGAAGUCUGUACCCUCAGCAUCUUAGCUAGAGUGGGGAGUGAGGUGGUGCCAAGAUGGACCUCGCAUAUACAUUCAGUAUUCGGCAUUGGCUCUAGGAGUUCCUCCCCACUUCUCUCCUACAUCCUUCUGGAAUUUCAGGGUAUCAGUGGCUAAACACUAUAUUUUCUUUAUAGCUUAUGUCCUGGGCAUGAUUUAAAUUCCACAAAUGUGAAGUACUGGUGGAAGAUUUGUAAGGUAGAUAGGAGGCAGAGCCAUCUUUCUGGGGCAUUUCCAGAUGACAAAAAGCUCCAGCAAUGGCAGGAAUUUGCAUGAGACCAUUUGCCAGUCUUGUGGGUGUGUGGUGGCUGUGGCAGCAUCAGCAGCAGUAACAGUGACAAAUUGUCGUUUAAAGAAAGGAAAGGACAAGCUUCUGUCGACCCACAUCACUGAGCUCGUGGGGAGUUCCCUGUGACCAGGUGACUGAGAAAGGAAAAGUUGCAUGAAGCACAGUACACUGGCAUUAAUCAGAAGUGGAUUGAGUUAGGGGCGCCUGGGUGGCUCGGUCGUUAAGCGUCUGCCUUCGGCUCAGGUCAUGAAUCCAGGGUCCUGGGA